UCCCGCACGAUGAUUCCGGGCUGAAUAAAACAGCGGGCGGUUACCACCUAGGCACGCAUGACUCCUCAAUCUGAAAGCGCUGCGAAAAUCCCCAAACUGCCAACCAUAGAUCCCUCCUUCCUCUGCGGUGACUCCAUCUAACGCCACGCCUCAACCACCGAGUCGAGAGCCGCCGGCGAGUACAGUCGCACAGUAGUGCUUCUCCGUGCUGCGCGCUGGCAUUGGGCGCUGUCGCCGUCGGCGGCUCCGCGGGGGGCCACGGCGUGAGAACCGGAGAAGAGCUGAAGGCUGACGUCUGCUCCGUGCAGGAAGGCAUCUCGCCGGUUCGCCGGGGCCAUCACCGCCUCGAGCAGUCGAGCCGAGCAACGCGGGGUCGUUUUCCCCUCGGACUACAGCGCCAGGAACGGCCGGCCCAAGGGCCACGGCCACGGGUGCGAGGACGGAAGGCCGCUUCUGCCUCUGCUGGCUUGGAGAGGACGAGACGCCGGGAACCAGCUUGUAAGCUCAUCUAUCUCUGUUACUCGACUGGAUCAACUGAUUGGUUGGCGAUGGACAUGCAACGUUGCUCUGCAUCAUUCGUUGAAAUCCGUUCGAAAUGGUGUUAAUCUCUUCUAGAUAUUCUGGUUACCAUCUAAAAUUCAGUACUGUGAAACAUUGUGUCCCAUCGUAUAGAUGCAACAACAGAUUGGUGAUAAAUGUAUCUAAUCAUCAUAGAGCAAAGAGUGGUUUAAAUUAUUGGAUGGAAUGGAAAACAUGAAUAAAAAAACACUAAAGCAUGUUUUUAUGAACUUUCCCCAGCCAUCUGCUCUGAAAUCUUUUGCCUGAAGUUGACACUGCAAUGUGCAUCAUACAAUUGUUCUUUUCAAAAGAACCUGUCAAAGUUAGUUUGUGAGUAUUAUAGAAAACAUGAUGUGUGUUCACGGCAUGGCAAAAGAAACACAUCAGAUUGAGACCUCCAAUGGUCGCUUUUUUACUCCGUUGUUAGCGUGGAAGCCAUGGGCCGGACUUCUAUCAUUGGUCACAACUUUUGCUUCAGAUUCGAUGUGUGGUCCUUGGUUCCGAUCACAAUGUUGUUCUUCAGCAGUUUCCACGCAGAUGCUGCUGUUCCCCAAAUUUGAGUUCGUCAACUGGUGAGUUACCUAAGAUUCUUGAUGAAAUAGAAUCAUUUCAAAUAACGAAGUGCCAGCAGAGCAAUCCAUAUGCAUCUAUAUUCACAAUAUUAGAACAACAUAUGUUGUCUCAGGGGCAAAAAUAUAAGGUAUAAUUUACUGCUUAUAAUUCAUAAUUAAAUGAAUAACAUUUUGUUUCAAUUCAUCGAACAUUAAUGCUUCACAAUUGUGAAGAAGGUUGCAGGCCAAGAAAUACUGAUACAUCAAGUGGGUUGUUUCACCAUAGAAGCGUAUUAGUUAUUAAUCCUGGUAAAGAGUGAACCAGUAGCCAAGGACUCUCACUAUCUUGCUUCAGAAGAAGGUACAUAUCUGAAAGCUUUAUUAGUUUUGACUCCUUCUCACUAGCCUUUGCGAGACUACCUUAACUCUUAGCUGAAGGUCAUGAUUCUUUUCUGGUCUCUCUUUCAUAUACUUUUGCGGAUAUCCAUGUUUCAUAGGUUAGUGCCAAUUCUUGGAUUCACAGAUGAAUCUUGUCAGUCGGAGCUGGGAUAAGACUUUGGGGUGAUCACACAAACCUGAAGUUACAUUGAUUCUUAUAGAAUUAGUUGUCACUCAAUGUGGUAUUGUCCAGUGCUGCAUUGCAUGUGAUAGAUUGCAUCGUAACAGCAGAUUACUAAAAACAUUGAUUCACCUGCAUUAUAUUUAAGCACCGUUAACUUUGUUUGUCUAAUGCUGACAUGCAUACAAACACAAUAUACCUACAAAGCUAUUUACUAACAUGACUGCUACAAAUAAGAAUCCUCUAACCUUCUGUUAAUUAAGGUACUUUGACCUUCAGCAAGCUCUGCCAGCACAUGUUCAGGAACUUCCUGAGUGCUGCUAUGCCCUCUCAGUUAUCCGUUCCAUAUUAAGCGCCUUUGCAACUAACCCAAGCAACCUUCGAGGUCGACAAGCUGUAGUUUGGUGGUCAUCAGCCUUGGUCCAGGAGAAUUACGACAGUGGCAGAGGGAAACCCCACAUACUUCGGUGGCUCUGGGCUCCAAUGCGCCCACCGGAAAAUCGUCGCGAUGCGGAAAAAACCAGGAAGUUUAUUUAACAUGAAAAAACAGCCCACGCACACAUGACGCCAGCACCGCGCCCUCCAACUCCCCCUUUGAGCACUCUAAGUCUCGAAUGCUCCCACCAGCGUGAGGCCGCCGCACCGACCCUACUCUCCACCACCAUACUACCAGAGCGAAGACUCCGCACCCACCCUGCUCUCUCCCCACCGGCCCAAGGCCUUCGCACCACCUCACCCGACAACGGCACACCACUCCUCUCUCGCCGGCGCGAGGCCCUCGCCAACCCUGCCCCUCUCCUGCUGGUGUGAGACCACAGCUGGAUCCUCUGCUCCCAUGGAUCGUGCGUUCCCCGCGAGUCCACAAUGCGCAACCGGGUAGGGCAGUCCAUUGAGCAGAUAAAUAAGACCCGAGCCUCUCUGCCUGGCACACCUCUGGCCUCUAUCGCUGGAGAAUGGAAUAGUAAAGGUAGUUCGAUAUCCAGUGAGUGUUUGGUUUUGAUUUGCAAUAUUUUUGACUAUUGAGUCAGAUUUGAUUCUGAAUUUGUAAGUUGCAGUAGUCUGAGAUUGUGAGAAAGUUAGUGUUAGUAAAAUUUUGUAUUAAACAAUAUGAAAUUGAGGUGAUGCCAUUUUUUCAAGGAGUCAAGAUUCAGGGUAAGCGAAGGUUGAUUACAUUGUUGAAUCAUGAUCCCUAUGCAGAAUCCUACCAUCAUCACGUUAAAUGUACACUUUGGUUCAAAAGAAGGUGGCAGAACUCAGCGGUACGGAAGAGUGGACUCGAGGCCACAACUAGCAGUCAAACUUAUCAGCAAAACCCGCCCUCUGUUUGUAUCGUUGUCUUGCAUAGCUGUUUGAUCAAUGAUUUGGUAGGAAUUAUCAUUUUGAUGUUUCUGUCCUUUCCAUGCGGAUAUACAGGAGACGCGGCUGAAAGAGAAAGCGAAGCUGUUGAACACAAUCACGAAGUUGAACAAAGACAUUAGGCCAUAUGAACUAUGAAGUGGGGCUCUCAUCCGUGACCGCUUGAAUGGGGUAGGUAGCACUGCAACAAGUAAAUGAUGCCAUGCCUGUCGAUGGGGGACUCUGUCCUCGAGGAACGACGAGCCUCAGUGACCCUCCGCGUGUUCUUGAUAUAGAGCAAAGACAAACCUCUUCUUCUCAUCCUUAGUGACACAGAUGCUCUGUUGCCCGGCAUGGCAGCAAGAAAGUUGAGCAAAUUUGAUUCACGAUGCAGAUCUGGAUCAUGCAGCCUCCUCUGCCUCACCUCGCCACGCCUGUUCUUGGAUUUGCACCAGUGGUACACCAGGUUACUAAUCACUCAUCAUAUUAUCCACAUUUUGUUUCUCUAAUUACACCAGAGGCGCCUUCUUUCCAUGGUACUAUUGCAUGUUCAACAUGGUGCGAACUGGAAUAAUUUUAUGGUGAUAUCUACAGAUGUAUAGUCUGUAGUUGUUAUAGGGUUCAUCUUUGUGGUAAGUUGUAACUGUCUCCCUGCAGACCCACAUCAUGCCCUGCCAUGCCAGUAGACCUACAUUUUUUUAUUGCUAACCUUGAAAAUGACAGUUUCAUCUGAUUUUAAUAUGAAUGAUUUAUACUGCAAUUCAUAUGCAAGAAUUUAGUUGUAUAACAGAACACAGUCUAUUUUCCAUCUUAUUUACCAUAUAUAAUUUGAAAUAUGGUCCAGUCUCAAAUUUUAGCUAUGAUGUUAUUUAAUGUAACAGUAGAUAGUCGAAACAUGUACAGAUUCAGUAUCUGGCUUGAAUGAUAUAAAAGUUUCUAAUAAAAAUGGGAGUAUGAUAGCAAGCACUCUCGAGAAACAUAAGAAUCAAUUGAAUUUGGUCUAAGAAAAAAUUGCAUUCAUGUACCAUCUCUCCAUUUUGUUUUGGCAUUCUGCUGAACUACCAGCUGUAUAAAAUAGCAUACAUUAUUUUGAUGUUGGAUGGCCUAUACAAAGAUACGGUUCUGAUUUAUGAGGCCUCAUGUGAUUUCAAAUGUUCCUAUUUAUUUGAAGUUAUGUUCAUCGAAUCACAACUUGCAGUGCAAUGUGUCAUCAGGAGAUAAAUAUCAGUGAGCUACUAUAUAUUCAAUAUUUAUACAGCUGUAUAAGAAAGUCCAAGUUCUAAGCUACGAGGAUUAGAGGCACAAAUAAAUGUGCAGGUUGACAAAUGAGUUCGACCAACUAAUGAAUGGUUCAAGGUAGUUUUGUUGUUACGGCAGGGAGAGCUAUUUUUCUUCAUCAGGGGUGGGUAUAGGGACAAGAAGAAAUCUCUCUGUUCUUUCGUCAACUUAGACUAUUAUUAUAGAUGAUUGCAGAUCUAUGGAAAAUCCAGAACGCCUUGUUGUCUUAAGCUGUUUAUGUUCAGUUGUCAUAUUUUUGUGCAAUUGUCUGUGAUGGAUUGUAAUAUCUCUAAGUUGCCAUAUUUUUUCCUUGGAAUUUUAAGAUCACA